rnacentral:rRNA from 1 species
GACGAACGCUGGCGGCGUGCUUAACACAUGCAAGUCGAACGGUGAAGCGAGUGCUUGCACUCGUGGAUCAGUGGCGAACGGGUGAGUAACACGUGAGUAACCUGCCCAUCACUCUGGGAUAAGCACUGGAAACGGUGUCUAAUACUGGAUACGACCAACCCUUGCAUGGGGUGUUGGUGGAAAGAUUUAUCGGUGAUGGAUGGACUCGCGGCCUAUCAGCUUGUUGGCGGGGUAAUGGCCCACCAAGGCGACGACGGGUAGCCGGCCUGAGAGGGUGACCGGCCACACUGGGACUGAGACACGGCCCAGACUCCGACGGGAGGCAGCAGUGGGGAAUAUUGCACAAUGGGCGAAAGACUGAUGCAGCGACGCCGCGUGAGGGAGGACGGCCUUCGGGUUGUAAACCUCUUUCAGCAGGGAAGAAGCGAAAGUGACGGUACCUGCAGAAGAAGCACCGGCUAACUACGU